CAUGGGGUGCAAACGUUGCUCGGAAUUAUUGGGCGUAAAGCGCGCGUAGGCGGUUACUCAAGUCGGAUGUGAAAGCCCUCGGCUUAACUGAGGAAGUGCACCCGAAACUGAGUAGCUAGAGUACUAAAGAGGGUCGCGGAAUUCCCGGUGUAGAGGUGAAAUUCGUAGAUAUCGGGAGGAACACCGAUGGCGAAGGCGGCGACCUGGGUAGAUACUGACGCUGAGGCGCGAAAGCGUGGGGAGCAAACAGGAUUAGAUACCCUGGUAGUCCACGCCGUAAACGAUGGGUGCUAGAUGUUUCUGGUAUUGACCCCGGAGGCGUCGUAGCUAACGCGUUAAGCACCCCGCCUGGGGAGUACGGCCGCAAGGCUA
rnacentral:rRNA from 1 species